rnacentral:lncRNA from 1 species
GAGAACCUAUGAAACGAAAACUAGAAAGCUUAUGACCAUUAUUGACCAUACCAACUGCUACAAGACUACUAUCCCAAAGUUUGUUUAAAAUGAUUGAUAUUUCUAGUUAUUUUAUUGCAACAACAAAAAACACAUUAUUCUAAGGCUGCCAAGUCAAUUUUGGAGGUGCCCUUUUGAGCACGGGUCCUUAUUUCAGCUGAGUUAAAUCAAGCAGACUUCACUUUUCUCACAGGCUUCUUCUAAUUUUUCUCUGCCUUAAUGCUCUCAUAUAGGCUUGGAUAGUGCUGCUCAAAGUAUGAUACAAUGGGUUCAACAUGGUCCUCUUCCACUGUGACGGCAUAGCCGUAGGAGUGAGCACCAUAGUGUUAGCCCACUUUUGAAAAACCUUUGGAUCCACAUUCUUGUUAGAAGACAUCAAUGCAUCUGAGAUGUGAUCAUAAUCCUCUUCUACCUCAUCCCCCAAAAUUUGGAAAGAAUCUGCACACUCUUUAGGGUUGUAGUGUAACGCCCUAUUUUAUUAUUUAUUUAUUUUAUUAAGUUUAGAGUCUUUUUUUAUAAUUUAAUCAAUUUAUUUUGAUAAGUGAUAUUUUUGUUGUGUAUGAUAUUUAUUAGUAGCCCCUAUUUUAUUAUUUAGUGGAGAAAUAUAAUUUAAAUAGAUUAAUGAGGCAUAAGGACAUAAUUGGAAUAAGGGAGAAUGUGUUAGGAGAGAUUAAGUGAGAAACAAACACAGUUAGUGAUUAUAAAUAUAUGAGACCAUUAGAGAAUUAGGGUUACAACAGAAUAGAGAGUCAGAAUACAGAAUACGUAGAAACUGCUUUUGGGAGAAAAAGGGAGAAAGUGAGAAGUUAGAUAAGAGAAGAGGAGAAAACUUGUAAAGUCCAAAUUCAAUCUAAGGUAAGGGUGGGACUAACCUUCUUUAAUCAUAAGUAUAUAGUUCUGAAAAAGGGUUUAAGCUUGUAGUUGUUAAUAGUUUUGAUGUUAUAGAAAUUAGGUUUUGAUUUGGAAUUGAUUGUUAAAAAAGUAGAUAAUUCAAUAAAUUAGUGUACAAAUUCAUGUUUUGGUCCAAGUUUUAUAUGGUUUUGAGUGCCUUUUCAUGUUUAGAAAUGUUUAGACGAGUUUCGGGAUCAAAUUUGGGCAUAGGGAAGUUAAAAAUGGGAUUUUUUGGUGAAAAAUGUCAAGUUCCCGAGAGAUAUCAGAUUGAGCUCGCCAUGGCGGAUGACCUAUUCGCCUGGCGAAAUGUUCAGUGACAGACUGCCUUGUUUCACGUUCUUGCGUCUGUUUCACACGUUUCUGUUUUGAGUUGGUCUUCGGUGUAAACAUGAAAGUUGUUGAUAAUUGUGUUAUCUUUCCAGUAUUCUUGAUUUGAUGUGAAUAUCUUUGUUGGAUGAUUUAAUAUUUAUUAUAUGUAUAUGUUGAUGAAUUUGAUGUUAUAUGAUGUUGUUCAUGAUUGAUGAAUUAUUAUAUGAAUGUAUAAGUUGAUGAAUAUGAUGUCAUUCAAGAUUGAUGAACUAUUAUAUGAAUGUAUAUGUUGAUGAAUAUGAUUUUAUAUGAUGUUGUUCAUGAUUGGUGAAUUAUUAUAUGAAUGUAUAUGUUGAUGAAUAUGAUGUUAUAUGAUGUUGUUCAUGAUUGCUAAAUUAUGAAGUCAUAAUGCGAAGUCGUUGUUGUUGUUGUUGUUGUUGCAUUGGUAGUGUCAAUGCAUAAUCAUUUUAAACGAAGAGGGCUUGAUGCUCUGUUAAUUUUAAGCGAAGAGGGCUUGAUGCUCUGUUAUUUAAUCGAAGGGAACUUGAUGCUCUGUUGUAGGGAGCUUGAUGCUCUGAUGGUACGACAUGCAUAUUAGCAUCUCUUGAGUUGUUAUUGUUGCAUUGUUGAGUUGUUGUUGUUGCAUUGCGGAGUUGUUGUUGUUGUUGUCACAUUGUUGUUGUUGUUAUUAUUGCAUUGUUAAAAUGAAGAUAAUUGAUGAAUUGUUGAUUGGAAUUAUGUGAAGCAUUGUUGAUGAUGAUUUGCUGUUGUUUUGUGUUGAUAAAUUCUUUUACAUUAUUGUUUAUUAGUGUUGUUAAUGAUGAAUUGAGGUUGUUAUGUGUUGUUAAAUUCUUUUAUAGAAUUAUAUGCUUAUUAUUAUUGAAUUUGAAAUUUCACUCAUUCUGUUUGAAUGUUGCCUCUACGUGGGUAAUGUGCAGAUAACCAGGAGUAAUCGCUGAUGUGAGUUGAUUCUCGUGUCGUCCUAGGAGUCGCUCUGAUACGUACGGGAUGGGGAUUAGCUUUAUUUAUUUUCCAUUAUUAUGUAUUCUUUUUAUGAAUUUAUUGUUGAACAUUUUUUAGAUGAAAUUAAUUAUAUUGAUGAUGUUGAUGUUAGUUUGUUUUUAAUUCAAGUUUAGUUUUAGUGAUAAUCACAAUCAGUGGUUAAUCACAGUUUGUUUUAGUUUGUUAUGAAGUUUGUUACAAGUUUGUUAGAGGUUAGCAGAUAAGAUC